CCGGCGUACGGGUGAGUAACACGUAUCCAACCUGCCGUCUACUCUUGGACAGCCUUCUGAAAGGAAGAUUAAUACAAGAUGGCAUCAUGAGUUCACAUGUUCACAUGAUUAAAGGUAUUCCGGUAGACGAUGGGGAUGCGUUCCAUUAGAUAGUAGGCGGGGUAACGGCCCACCUAGUCUUCGAUGGAUAGGGGUUCUGAGAGGAAGGUCCCCCACAUUGGAACUGAGACACGGUCCAA
rnacentral:rRNA from 1 species